GCCGAAGUAGCUCAGGGGUAGAGCAACUGAUUCGUAAUCAGUAGGUCCGGGGUUCGAAUCCCCGCUUCGGCACCA
rnacentral:tRNA from 1 species